rnacentral:RNase_P_RNA from 1 species
UGAGUCGGCCAGGCGAUCGCGGCGCCGAUGAUCGGCGUCGAGGAAAGUCCGGACUCCACAGAGCAGGGUGGUGGGUAACACCCACCCGGGGCAACCCGCGGGACAGUGCCACAGAAAACAGACCGCCCACGCGUGCGUGGGUAAGGGUGAAACGGUGGUGUAAGAGACCACCAGCGCCCCAGGUGACUGGAGCGGCUCGGUAAACCCCACCCGGAGCAAGAUCAAGAAGGGAACGCUCGCGUUCCCGCGGGAACCGUUCGAGGGCUGCUCGCCCGAGGCUCCCGGGUAGAUCGCACCAGGCCGUCGGCAACGACGGUCGCAGAUGGAUGAUCGCCACCGCUUCGGCGGUACAGAAUCCGGCUUAUCGGCCGGCUCACCCC